rnacentral:rRNA from 1 species
UUCUCGAAUUUAAAAGAGUUAAUUAAUUAAAAAAUUUAUUGUAGCAAAAAUAUUUUUCAUAAUUAAUUAGAAAUGAAAUGUUAAUCGUUUUUAAAUAUAUCUAGUUUUUUUAGAAAAAAAUUUAAUUUAAAAUUAAAUUAAUUAAAAAAUUAAUUAAAAAAUUUUUUAAAAUUUAAAUUUAAUAUUUUAAGGGAUAAGCUUUAAUUUAAAAUAUUUAUAAUUAAAUAUUAAAUUUUUUGAAAAUUUUAAAAUUUAUAUUGUUUAAAAAUUAUAAUUUUUUAUAAAUAAUUUCAUAAAAAAUAAAAUUUAAUUUUAAUUUAAUUUUUUAUAAAAAAAUAAAAUUUAAAAAAAUAAUUUUAGUUAUAAUGAUAAAAUUAGUAUAUAAAUUUUAUUUAAUUAAUAUUAUAAAAUAUUUUUAAAUGAAAAAUUAAUUAUAAGGAAUUCGGCAAAAAUUUAUAUUCACUUGUUUAUCAAAAACAUGUCUUUUUGAAAUAAUUUAAAGUCUAAUCUGCCCACUGAUGAAAAUUGAAGGGCUGCAGUAUUUUGACUGUACAAAGGUAGCAUAAUCAUUAGUCUCUUAAUUGGUGACUUGUAUGAAAGAUUGGAUGAGAUAUAAGCUGUCUUAUUUUUAUUUAUAGAAUUUAAUUUUUU